rnacentral:rRNA from 1 species
AUAAUGGGUCAGCGACUUAUAUUCUGUAGCAAGGUUAACCGAAUAGGGGAGCCGAAGGGAAACCGAGUCUUAACUGGGCGUUAAGUUGCAGGGUAUAGACCCGAAACCCGGUGAUCUAGCCAUGGGCAGGUUGAAGGUUGGGUAACACUAACUGGAGGACCGAACCGACUAAUGUUGAAAAAUUAGCGGAUGACUUGUGGCUGGGGGUGAAAGGCCAAUCAAACCGGGAGAUAGCUGGUUCUCCCCGAAAGCUAUUUAGGUAGCGCCUCGUGAAUUCAUCUCCGGGGGUAGAGCACUGUUUCGGCAAGGGGGUCAUCCCGACUUACCAACCCGAUGCAAACUGCGAAUACCGGAGAAUGUUAUCACGGGAGACACACGGCGGGUGCUAACGUCCGUCGUGAAGAGGGAAACAACCCAGACCGCCAGCUAAGGUCCCAAAGUCAUGGUUAAGUGGGAAACGAUGUGGGAAGGCCCAGACAGCCAGGAUGUUGGCUUAGAAGCAGCCAUCAUUUAAAGAAAGCGUAAUAGCUCACUGGUCGAGUCGGCCUGCGCGGAAGAUGUAACGGGGCUAAACCAUGCACCGAAGCUGCGGCAGCGACGCUGAUGCGUUGUUGGGUAGGGGAGCGUUCUGUAAGCCUGUGAAGGUGUGCUGUGAGGCAUGCUGGAGGUAUCAGAAGUGCGAAUGCUGACAUAAGUAACGAUAAAGCGGGUGAAAAGCCCGCUCGCCGGAAGACCAAGGGUUCCUGUCCAACGUUAAUCGGGGCAGGGUGAGUCGACCCCUAAGGCGAGGCCGAAAGGCGUAGUCGAUGGGAAACAGGUUAAUAUUCCUGUACUUGGUGUUACUGCGAAGGGGGGACGGAGAAGGCUAUGUUGGCCGGGCGACGGUUGUCCCGGUUUAAGCGUGUAGGCUGGUUUUCCAGGCAAAUCCGGAAAAUCAAGGCUGAGGCGUGAUGACGAGGCACUACGGUGCUGAAGCAACAAAUGCCCUGCUUCCAGGAAAAGCCUCUAAGCAUCAGGUAACAUCAAAUCGUACCCCAAACCGACACAGGUGGUCAGGUAGAGAAUACCAAGGCGCUUGAGAGAACUCGGGUGAAGGAACUAGGCAAAAUGGUGCCGUAACUUCGGGAGAAGGCACGCUGAUAUGUAGGUGAAGUCCCUCGCGGAUGGAGCUGAAAUCAGUCGAAGAUACCAGCUGGCUGCAACUGUUUAUUAAAAACACAGCACUGUGCAAACACGAAAGUGGACGUAUACGGUGUGACGCCUGCCCGGUGCCGGAAGGUUAAUUGAUGGGGUCAGCGCAAGCGAAGCUCUUGAUCGAAGCCCCGGUAAACGGCGGCCGUAACUAUAACGGUCCUAAGGUAGCGAAAUUCCUUGUCGGGUAAGUUCCGACCUGCACGAAUGGCGUAAUGAUGGCCAGGCUGUCUCCACCCGAGACUCAGUGAAAUUGAACUCGCUGUGAAGAUGCAGUGUACCCGCGGCAAGACGGAAAGACCCCGUGAACCUUUACUAUAGCUUGACACUGAACAUUGAGCCUUGAUGUGUAGGAUAGGUGGGAGGCUUUGAAGUGUGGACGCCAGUCUGCAUGGAGCCGGCCUUGAAAUACCACCCUUUAAUGUUUGAUGUUCUAACGUUGACCCGUGAUCCGGGUUGCGGACAGUGUCUGGUGGGUAGUUUGACUGGGGCGGUCUCCUCCUAAAGAGUAACGGAGGAGCACGAAGGUUGGCUAAUCCUGGUCGGACAUCAGGAGGUUAGUGCAAUGGCAUAAGCCAGCUUGACUGCGAGCGUGACGGCGCGAGCAGGUGCGAAAGCAGGUCAUAGUGAUCCGGUGGUUCUGAAUGGAAGGGCCAUCGCUCAACGGAUAAAAGGUACUCCGGGGAUAA